UGCCAGCAGCCGCGGUAAUACCGGCAGCACGAGUGAUGGCCGAUGUUAUUGGGCCUAAAGCGUUCGUAGCCUGCCAAUCAGGUUCGUCGGGAAAUCCACGCGCUCAACGUGUGGGCGUCCGGCGAAUACCGAUUGGCUUGGGACCGGAGGACCCGAGGGGUACGUCCGGGGUAGGAGUGAAAUCCUGUAAUCCUGGACGGACCACCGGUGGCGAAAGCGCCUCGGGAAGACGGACCCGACAGUGAGGGACGAAAGCUGGGAUCUCGAACCGGAUUAGAUACCCGAGUAGUCC
rnacentral:rRNA from 1 species